GCUGGAAUGGCCGAGUCGUUAAGGCGAGUGAUUUGAAUUGUCACUAUCACUUGGUGUUUCACCGCGUAGGUUCAAAUCCUGCUUCCAGCG
rnacentral:tRNA from 1 species